rnacentral:rRNA from 2 species
GGCGAGUGAAGCGGGAAGAGCCCAGCACCGAAUCUUCCUCCUUUGGGUGGACGAAUUGUGGUGUUUAGGACGUUCUUCAUUGCAUUGCUAUGGUGUCUGAGUCCUCCUGAUUGGGGCUAUCCCAUAGUGGGUGUAAGGCCUCUACUGAUGCUGAGCUUUGCAAUUUGAAUUGUCCUUGGAGUCGGGUUGUUUGGGAAUGCAGCCCAAAGUGGGUGGUAAACUCCAUUUAAGGCUAAA